rnacentral:rRNA from 2 species
UAGGGAAUCUUCGGCAAUGGACGAAAGUCUGACCGAGCAACGCCGCGUGAGUGAAGAAGGUUUUCGGAUCGUAAAACUCUGUUGUUAGAGAAGAACAAGGACGUUAGUAACUGAACGUCCCCUGACGGUAUCUAACCAGAAAGCCACGGCUAACUACGUGCCAGCAGCCGCGGUAAUACGUAGGUGGCAAGCGUUGUCCGGAUUUAUUGGGCGUAAAGCGAGCGCAGGCGGUUUCUUAAGUCUGAUGUGAAAGCCCCCGGCUCAACCGGGGAGGGUCAUUGGAAACUGGGAGACUUGAGUGCUGAAGAGGAGAGUGGAAUUCCAUGUGUAGCGGUGAAAUGCGUAGAUAUAUGGAGGAACACCAGUGGCGAAGGCGGCUCUCUGGUCUGUAACUGACGCUGAGGCUCGAAAGCGUGGGGAGCAAACAGG